rnacentral:rRNA from 1 species
UACGAAGGGGGCUAGCGUUGCUCGGAAUCACUGGGCGUAAAGGGUGCGUAGGCGGAUUUCUAAGUCAGGGGUGAAAGCCUGAGGCUCAACCUCAGAACUGCCUUUGAUACUGGAAGCCUUGAGACCGGAAGAGGUAAGUGGAACUGCGAGUGUAGAGGUGAAAUUCGUAGAUAUUCGCAAGAACACCAGUGGCGAAGGCGGCUUACUGGUCCGGUUCUGACGCUGAGGCACGAAAGCGUGGGGAGCAAACAGG